rnacentral:lncRNA from 1 species
CCAGCCUGAGCUGCUGCGUCACCCGGGCAGCCUGGGAACCCAGCGAUUGGGCAACCUUGUCGCCUCUCGCCGUGUUACUCUCCUGGGCGACCUGCGGCUAAGUCUCCUCCCGGGCGGGGCCCUAGUGAAAGAGAAGAAAAUAGAGUUCUGGCUGUUGACAUCCCGUGACGCCACUUGAUUCCUGAGUGGGUGGCCCAUGCCUAGUUCGUAAAAGAACUUUUACAACAGUGCCUGGCUAGGUCCCUCCCCGGAGGGCGGGGAGAAGGGUGUCGUGCGGAGUUGGAACGAGAAAGGCUAUACUGGUAACUGUCUGGGGCUAAGGUGCUGCAACUUGGUUGACAUUUUCUGUCACCACUGUAUCCGGUGGCCUCAGUCUGUCGGAAGCAGAGUCUCUUCAAGCAUGUGGUGAAAGAUGAAGUCAAGUUGGGAGUAUAAGUCUACUGAUAGAGUAACAAAAUGAUUUGCAAUAAAGUGGAAAGCAUUAAUCAAGAAAAAUAAAGAAGUCUGCUGAAAAAGUAAGAGGAAACAAAACACUAUUGAAAAGGCAAGACCCACAUACAGUGGUACAGAUCGGACAAAAUCUCAAACAACUGGAUGUGGAACUCCAGAAGAAAAUACUGUCUUUGGGGGAAAAUCUUACACUGGGGGAAGAAAAAUGGACAGAUCCUGCUUCCACUGCCCUUCUCUGUCAUUGAUUGACAGCUGCCAAGAAAAAGAUUGGUUCCGCUGGAAUGAUGUGCUUUGCCUUCAAGUGGAUGUAUGUAGCUAGCUCAAUGGCACCCGGUGGAGCCGGAUGGCAAGCUCCUUUAAAACUGUUAAUGCGUCUGGAUCCAGCAUCACAGAACAGUUCCUGGGCCAAAUGUGUCCUAGAAGAUUA